rnacentral:rRNA from 1 species
UUAAGAAUCUUCCGCAAUGGGCGAAAGCCUGACGGAGCGACGCCGCGUGAAUGACGAAGGCCUUCGGGUUGUAAAGUUCUUUGGCAAGGGAAGAAUAGUCGGCGGAGGAAAUGCCGCUGAUCUGACGGUACCUUGAGAAUAAGCCCCGGCUAACUACGUGCCAGCAGCCGCGGUAAUACGUAUGGGGCGAGCGUUGUUCGGAUUUACUGGGCGUAAAGGGUGCGUAGGUGGGAGGAUAAGUCGGAUGUGAAAUCUUGCGGCUCAACCGCAAAACUGCUUCCGAUACUGUCUUUCUUGAGUCUGGAAGAGGUGAACGGAAUUCCUAGUGUAGGGGUGAAAUCUGAAGAUAUUAGGAAGAACACCGGUGGCGAAGGCGGUUCACAAUUCUGAGACUGACACUGAGGCACGAAAGCCAGGGGAGCAAACGGG